rnacentral:lncRNA from 1 species
UUAAAAUUGCACUGUCUUCAGAUUGUACCUGCAAAUGAAUGCUCGGGAAUUCGCACAAGAUGACAGUUUCAAACUUAUGACAACAUUCCCAAAGAAAAUCUUUACUAGCGAAGAUUACGAGAAACCUUUGGAAUUAUUAGGUUUGGUACCAUCGGCUGUGAUCAUAGUGUCAAGAGGCCAAUAAGUAAAAAAAUAAUCUUGCUACAGUUACCUGUUUAUCAAUUUGAGCAGUAUGGGUUUAUAUGGGUGCGACAGGUAUUAACAUAAACAGUAACAAUAAAGUUUGUGUAUGCA